rnacentral:rRNA from 1 species
AGAGUUUGAUCCUGGCUCAGGAUGAACGCUGGCGGCGUGCUUAACACAUGCAAGUCGAACGGGGAUUAUUUUGACAGAGACUUCGGUUGAAGUCGUUAUAAUCCUAGUGGCGGACGGGUGAGUAACGCGUGGGUAACCUGCCUCACACUGGGGGAUAACAGUCAGAAAUGACUGCUAAUACCGCAUAAGCGCACGGGGCCCCAUGGUUCAGUGUGAAAAACUCCGGUGGUGUGAGAUGGACCCGCGUUGGAUUAGCCUGUUGGCAGGGUAACGGGCUACCAAAGCGACGAUCCAUAGCCGGCACUGAGAGGGUGGACGGCCACAUUGGGACUGAGACACGGUCCACACUCUUAUUGUAUGCAGCACUGGGGAAUAUUGCCACAAUGGGGGAAAACCCCUGAUGCAGCGACGCCGCGUGAAGGAAGAAGUAUCUCGGUAUGUAAACUUCUAUCAGCAGGGAAGAAAAUGACGGUACCUGACUAAGAAGCCCCGGCUAACUACGUGCCAGCAGCCGCGGUAAUACGUAGGGGGCAAGCGUUAUCCGGAUUUACUGGGUGUAAAGGGAGCGUAGACGGAGCAGCAAGUCUGAUGUGAAAGGCGGGGGCUCAACCCCUGGACUGCAUUGGAAACUGUUGAUCUUGAGUACCGGAGAGGUAAGCGGAAUUCCUAGUGUAGCGGUGAAAUGCGUAGAUAUUAGGAGGAACACCAGUGGCGAAGGCGGCUUACUGGACGGUAACUGACGUUGAGGCUCGAAAGCGUGGGGAGCAAACAGGAUUAGAUACCCUGGUAGUCCACGCCGUAAACGAUGA